CCCUUAGAUGUCCUGGGCCGCACGCGCGCUACACUGACAUGUUCAACAAGUUUCUCCUAGUUCGACAGGACUGGGAAAUCUUUGAACGCAUGUCGUGAUAGGGAUAGAUCAUUGCAAUUAUUGAUCUUGAACGAGGAAUUCCUAGUAAACGCGAGUCAUCAGCUCGCAUUGAUUACGUCCCUGCCCUUUGUACACACCGCCCGUCGCUCCUACCGAUUGAGUGGUCCGGUGAGGCUUUGGGAUCUGAGCGGAAAGAGCGUUUCGCUGUUUCUGCCCGGAAAACUCAGUCGAACCUUAUCAUUUAGAGGAAGGAGAAGUCGUAACA
rnacentral:rRNA from 1 species